AGAUAAGGGUAUUGGCUACCUGGGGGCUAGUGUGUGUGUGCUUGGGGGCUGUUUGGAGGAGGGAGAGUCUGGCAAGGGGGAAGACGGGCCUGGGACUCUUCACCCGGGGGCCAGGAGAGCUGAAGGGGGAGUCUGAGGCCCCUCCAAUGAAUUUCAUCUACUGCAGAUUUUAGCUCCAUCUAGGCUUACCUUCUGUGCUGCCCCCCCUCCCGCCCCGUGGGCAGGUAAGGAGUCCACUGCCCGCCACGUCCCUCCUCGCAGCUGCCAUUCUCCCGGAGUCUGUGUGACAGAAUGGGACCUGUGGGGAAAGCCGCCACGUCAGCACCCAGCCCCGUUUUGCACUCCGGCAGCUAAUUAAAGCCAGGAAGGUAAUUUAUUGCUGAGGGAGAAUGUGCGGGAGGUUUGGCUUCCUUGAAAUGGCCCCCAAAGAGUUAUGGAAAGCUAAAGUGGGUUUUCAGAAGCAAAAGUUAAUUACUCUUCACUUAGCAUUUCAGUGUCAUGUGGCUCGGAGUUACACACAUGCUGAGUGGAAGCCUUUACCCAGACAUGGGGACGGAGGGGAGCAUGCUGGAGCCAGGGAUUCCAGGUGGCUGGCCAUCCCCUGGCAGUGGAUCAAAAGUGCCACCCAUCUCCCCACAAGGGAUAAGGCUCUGCCUGCUCCAGGAAGCUCAGCCCCAGGUGGGGGCGGGACUGGAAGGCAUUCAUUUCUGUGGACGAGAGUUCCCACGUGGGAGAAAGAACGCUGCUCUGCAAACGGGAGACUGGGGGUGGCGGCUCCCAGCUCUGCCCUGACAGCUCUGUGGCUUGGCUGAGCUCUUUCCCCUCGCUGGGUCUCACUGUUCCCUUCUAUUUAAGGAUCACUGAGGCACAUCUUCACUUUUGGUGGUCUGAUCAUUUCCUUGACACUAUCGUCCCUGGGUCUCUUUAUGGAUGCCAUUCAUGCCGUGCGGCCCGUUUGGUAGAGGGGGAGACUGAGGUAUAGGCUAUCCGACCAGAAGAUAAUGGAGGAUGUGGGAGUGACUUCGCUGUCAGCUGAAAACUGAUGCAUUUGCCGCCUAGAAAUAGGAGCUUCUUGGGGCUGAAAGUGUUGGUUAGAUUUAUGGAUGGAUAAUGGCAUUUGGGAAGGCAAAUGGCAUGAUGGCAUGAAUCUGGGCCACUUUGGGAAGAAAGGGUAAAAGAUUCUGUCAAUGAACUUUCUCAUUGGGGCCAAACAGAAAUGGUGCAAAAGCUGCCUUGCACACUUAUCUGUAUCUAAAGGCGGUAAUUAUCCUGACUGUAGAUAUGCUUACUAUUAGGUGCUAAAUAUUUAAAAUGAUUGCUACUCAGGAGUGCUGAUGCAUAGGGGCACUUGUACCCCAAUGUUUACAGCAGCACUUUCAACAAUAGCCAAAUUAUGGAAAGAGCCUAAAUGUCCAUCAACUGACGAAUGGAUAAAGAAGUUGUGGUUUAUAAACACAAUGGAAUACUACUUGGCAAUGAGAAAGAAUGAAAUAUGGCCUUUUGUAGCAACGUGGAUGGAACUGGAGAGUGUUAGGCUAAGUGAAAUAAGUCAGGGAGAGAAAGACAGAUACCCUAUGUUUUCACUCCUAUGUGGAUCCUGAGAAACUUAACAGAAGAUCAUGGGGGAGGGGAAGGAGAGAAAAAAAAAUGGUUAGAGAGGGAGGGAGCCAAACCAUAAGAGACUCUGAAAAACUGAGAACAAUCUGAGGGUUGACGGGGGGGGGGGGGGGGGGGGGGGGGGGGGGGGGUGGGGGAUGGGCAUUGAGGAGGGCACCUGUUGGGAUGAGUACUGGGUGUUGCCUGGAAACCAAUUUGACAAUAAGUUUCAUAUUAAAAAAAAUGCUUGCUGCUGUUUAUGUUUAAGGGGCUGACUCGAGAGGCUCCCACUUGAUCUUCCUAGCCACAUUUUGGGGGUGGGGUGGGGAGGGCGUUGAGCAAAGGUGAGGAUGUGGAGGUGCUGUGCUUAGGUUUUCAGUUCGAGGUGGUUUACGAAGAGUAAUGAGUUCCAGAGAGAGAGGACGCCCAUCUUAGGUGGGUGUUGCGUGCUAAAGUCAGUGGGGAUGGUGGGUCCAGGAAAGGCAAAAUUAUUUCUGAAAGUCCUUAUAUUGUAGGGAUUUCUCCUGGAAACUCAAAAGUGAAAACCUUCUUUCUUCUUCUUCUCCUUCUCCUCCUCUUUCCUUCUCCUUCUUUUCCUUCUCCUCCCCUCUUCCUCUUUCUCCUCUUCCUCCUCUUCCGUCUUCUUCUUUGGCAUUUCUACUGGUCAUCUUUUUCCUGGACCUAGGUAGAGGGUCUAGUCUGAAGGGAGAUGGUGAGUGUGAUGGAGUAAAGAGAGUCUACCCUGUUGACAUUUUGCACAUUAAAUGUGUGUGUUUCACCGCUUACUCUGUUGUCCCAAUAAAUCCAGGCAGAAAAGACUUAGACCAAAGUAUCUGCAGAUAAUAUGAGCUCAUUGAGAAUUUUUUUAAGCAAUGAGUGAAUAAAAGUCUUUAAAAAUUCUUGUCUCAUGCUGUCACUCCAAUAUCAUGGGUGAUGGAAUUAUAUAGAUACAUGAUUUGUGGAUGUGGUUGAAUAGGGUGGUGUGGUUAAAGAACUAUAGUGAAAGUAAUUAAGUUCCCUGGAGACAAGAUGUGACACCCAACAGGAAUGCUUUAGCACCUCACACAUAUAAUAUUAGGUCUCCAGAAGCAAUCACAGCACUGUGAAUCUGAGAGUGUUGGAAAUGAGAUUGGAUUCCCUUCGCACAAGCCAUCUACCCAGCAAUUUGUAGUGAAUUCAAACAUUAUUGAACAUUCUUUCGGAACCUUCCCUCUCUUAUUAAAAAAUGUUUCUGUGUCUAGGAUUGUUGGGUCAAACAGUCCCCACUUACCUUGAAGAUGGGCUGGACGGCUCAGAAUGAGGUCAGAAUCCCAGCGAAGCCCGGAAUGGGCUGAACAUCAGCCAAGGAUGUACUUAGGUCAUGUUCUUAACUGCAAACCCUGACUGUCUGUUGUUUAGCUAAGGGCCAAAUUACCACUUUGGUAUAGGCCUCAAUAAAUGGCGAUGAAGUGGCCUUGGAUUUUGUUGACAUGUUUUUAGACCAGAGACUGCAUCUAGGACAGGGCAUCACCCGCCAUCAUGCUGCAUUAUUACAAGCGUGAGCAGCAUUUGCAAAACGCAGGCAUCUUUCACUCUGCCUAGUUGGUGGGUAGAAGCGAUCUCUGUGAUGAUUAGGUCCAAGAGUUAUACUUCUAGUUGAAACUAGAACCUGGCAUGGCCAAUGAUUCCCUGUCUCUCCUGCUCCAUGGUAGACCCAGAUACACUGGAAUUACCACUAAGUGGAAGCAGGGUAUAAAAUAAGGUGGUAGCCGUCCCCAUUAGCAGGAAGAGGGGUGGUAGUGUCUGUAUUGUGGAUACUUUUGCAAAGAGUUUGUUUCUGUGAUGAUGAAGCUGGAGAGGCAAUGGCCUUAUUUUCUUUGGGACACAGCUCCUUAUAUCUUGUUGGGAUGAGGCAAGAGUGGAAGUUAGAAGCGUUAUUUGGGUGCAGGGAACAGUAAAGAGGGAAGGGAAAGGAACUACUGAUCAUUUUGCACUGUUAGGUAGAGAAUGUCUGGCAUUGGGCCAGGGAGGCAUUAUAAAUUAGCAGCAGCCUUUUGGAAGUCAUGGAUUUUAUUCUCCUGCAACAUGGAGAUCCUGGUCCAAUCAUCCUAAAUGAUGCAAGACUCUUCUGUCCCUGAGACUUCUGGGAAAAAAAGUUCCAGAGCCACAUGUCUAUAGACUAUGUCCAGACUCGUCAUUUUGCAGGUGGCCGACUGAAUUCCUUAGCUAGAGAGUGGGCUGACCAGGAGGAGACCCAGCUCAGAACGGAGUUCCUUCAACCUUUUCACCCAAGUAAAGAUGGAGGAGGAUGGACAAGUCCUCCAAGCAUGUCAUGGCCCAAAACGUCUCUUAGUAAGUGUUACAUGUGUGAUUUUUAGUGUUUAAUGUUAAAAAGUCAUCCACGUUUUGCAUGUUCGGUUACCACACACUUGUGUUUUAAUAUAAAAACAAUGCUUUAAAUUACCAUCAGGAAAAACACAAAGGAACGAGCAUGUUUCUUAGUUCUUUCAAUUAGAGGCAGAAGCACUUUUGAGUCCAGUGUUUGGAACUCUGGGUUAGAAGGGCAGGAGGUAGCUUUUUGCUUUCUGACAGAUCCUUUUUGCUUUCUGACAGCUGCGAAAAAUGGUCCAGUUUUUCACUAAUUUUCAAGGUGGAUCAGGGUGGUUAGCUCAGUUGAGAUGUCCUGAAACCUCUUCCUCACUGAGAAUGCCUGCAGAUGGCACAUUCAGGGUGUAUACCCGUGCCUGGAUGGGAAUCAUCAGGUUUGCAUGUCGCAGUUUGGCCUCCUCUGUGCACAGGAAACUGCGUUGUGUUCACCCAGGGCCAGGCAGGGUGACUAGCCCAUGGCCACCUAAGUCCAAGAGCAAAGGCGCUCCAUACACAAAGCCCGGCAUUACUCCAUAUGGCCUCCUUGUCCAGCCUUUUCCAGUGGCAAAUACCAUCUCUUAAGGAGAAUCAUGGAGAUGAAUUUCAUUCCACAGUCAGUCUCAGUCCUUGACUGCCCUGUGGUCCACUUCUUCAUGCUGUGUUUGGAGAUGUUUCCCAGAACUCAGAAUUAAGAUGCCUUAGCAAGUUCUAAAAUGCUGUUGGCAAUUGUCUUUUUAUCUCCUGAUCAUGCACUUGGUUAGCGGGCUUUCAACAUUCCAUCUUUAAAAUGGCAUUGGGGUAGCCACUUCUCCACUACCAUUUUCUUGACACAGUUGAAGUAUGAGAUGAUGGGGAUCCACUUGCUGCUUGGAUCUGAGUUAGGAUUUUGCCCAGUUCUUCAUUGCCCCAUUCUCCUUGGGGUUUGGUUUCUACUUCAUGUGUUUCUUCCUAGCCCUGCUGUUUCUACUAGUCUGAGGCUUUAAUCUCCCCACCUAGACUGCCUUAAACAGAGUAAUCUGAAUGAAUAGGGAUCAGCCCCAUAUGACAUGGGAGCAUUCCGUUAGCUGCUGCAGUGGGUACUCCAUGUACGUUCCAUGUUGGGUUCUUACACUUGGGUAGAUUUAUCUUUGGAAUGUGACCUUACCAAGUCCAAGAAGACAGCACCCGUUCAUUAUUGUUCCACUAUUAUUGACUCUAAAUAAAAACUGUACAGCAGCUGCUGAUGGGGGUGGGGGGAUGAGAGGAGGAAGAAAAUCAGACAGAUCCUUCGCAGUGCCAGUCCCCUCAGUCAACGGAAGUAGCUGGCAUUGUACAGGCCAUUUGUAUCUCCAAAACCCAGGGCUUCUGUGCACAGCAGGGAUGGCAUCUUCCCCUCCUCUUCUUCUUCCUUCUCCUCCUCUUCCUUCCCCUCCUCCCCCUCCUUUCUCGUCCUCCUCAUUCUCCUCCCUCUUCUUCUCCUCCCCUUUCUCUCCUCUCCCUUCCUCUCCUCCCCCUUCCUCUCUUCCCCCUCCCUCUCCUCCUCCCCCUCCCCCUUCCCCUCCUCCUCCUCCUUCUUCUUCUUCUUCUUCUUCUUCUUCUUCUUCUUCUUCUUCUUCUUCUUCUUCUUCUCUUUAUAGAAAACUUGUUGCACUGAGUGGCAAAGAGCCCACAAAUAACUGAGCUGUACAUUGGAAAUGGAUCUGAUGAGCCUUUUAAUAGAAGAAAAUCAUCAUUAUUUCCCAAGAGUUCACAGUCCCAUAAUAUUUUUAUUAGCAGCCUCUCUUCUAAAUAAAGUUCAGUGGAUUGAUUUUGGUUGGGUUUUCUCAUUCUAAAUAUCUCCUUAAAUUAUGACCGUGGAUAUCGUCCCGUCAUCACCAUUGUUAUUAUUGUUAUCAGCAUCAGCAGCUCCAUUGCUAUAUUUAUGUCGCACUUAGAAAGCUCUCAGACACUUCAGGUAUAUUGCUUCAUUUGUCCUCAUAGCAUAUUUGUAAGGAAGGGAGAGGACCUAUUAGAACUAAACACUGAGUACAGACUUCUCCUCUCUGCGCUUCUGUGAGGAAACCCCCCUUUAGGGUGUGGCCAGGAGAGCCCUCCUUUGGCCAGGAGAGUCUUUUACCCCAACCUUGAGCAGAGGGGGAUUGCUGUAGUCUAAUUUACAGCCACCCAGAGGCUGGAUACCUUUGAGGACUUGGCUCAGGGUAGAACAGAGGGUACUUACCUAGAGUGGCUGUGCAAUGGGGGAAAACCCCUUGGGAGUCACAAUGACCAUCUGGCCCUGACUUGCCCCCUUGCCUUGCCUUGGCCCUCAUUGGGUAUGUGGGGCAACAUCAAUCAUAGGGUCCCCAAAGCCCCCAAUCCCAAGAGUGCAGCACCAUGGAACAGUGGAAAGACACUGGCAUAGGAGCCAGGAGAUCUGAGUUUGAAUCCUGAUUCAGCCAUCGAUUAGCUUUGUUUCUUGAGCCAACCCCUUAGUGUUUUUGAGGCUUCAUUUCCUCAUUUAUAAAAGGAGGGAUAUUAAUACUUCCUUUCUGGAUUUUGUGAGGACUUAAUAUGGUAACCUAUAUAGAAAUGCCUAGCAUGAUGGAUGGGACAUAAACGUGCAAUAAAUGUUAGUUCCAUUCUCCCUUUAAUCUUCUCUCUUGGCAAAACCUAAACUGUCUGUCCAGUAUGAUUUUGAGAGCUGAAAGUGAACAUAGAAAACAACAUUUGGAUACAUUAGUCAUUUUAAUCAGUGCCUUGUCAAAAAGCAUGUAUUUUCUUACCUAUGUUGAAUAAAAGCUAGUAAUCGGUAAUCAGUGGAUUUUAAAGCUUGUGUUAGAAACAAUGCUGGGGGUGCAUCUGGGUGGCUCAGUUGGUUAAGCCUCAAACUCUUGAUUUCAGCUCAGGUCCUGAUCUCAGGGUUGUGGGAUCGAGCCCAGCAUUGGGCUCUGUGCUGAGAUUACUUGGGAUUCUCUCCCUCUCUCUGCCCCUCCCAACCCCUUAAAAAAAAGAAUACUGGACUAGAGAGCAGACAGCCUGGGCUUCAUCCCCCUCCCCACCACUAGCCAGAUGGAGGUCCUUGAGGAAAUCACUUGGCAUGUCUGGGUCUCAGUUUCCUGAUCUGUAAAAUGAAGAGCUUGAAAUAGUUAUCCGUGAGCUUCGCAGUCCUAUAAUUUUAUAAGAACUGAUUUUUAGGGAAGAGGCCAAAUGAUGCAUGUGACCUUUUGUUCCUCCAAUUUCCUGGGUUCCUUGUGCCCUAGGAAACCCCACUGGUUGGUCUCCGGAUCAGUAGCAAGGAAGCCCAGCUAAUUUGGGGGUGGUACCCAUGCUGUGGGCACAUUGCCCGGGAGGAAAUGAACAACCUCUGGAAGGCCAGGCAGCAACCCAGACUCCACAGUGGCAGCUGAUGUCUCAGAUUCUGCUUCUAUUUAUUGAUCAACCCCAGCUUCCCUCUUCCCCCCUGCCUCCCUCACCUGCUCCGAGAGUCCUGGGUCUAGACUGAUGGCAGCAUAGGUGGCUGUGCCCAGAAGCCCAGCUGCUUGGAUCUCUCGGGGCUGGAGAAGGCUGAUGGGGGGCUGGGUGCCGGACCCCUGUCUGCUGCGUUGACCACAUCUCCAGGCAAGUGCUGUCUUUGGAAGGUCUGGUGUUAGUUGCUGUGCUAAUCCCUGCUGGUUAUGCUUCUCAGCAUAGCCUGCGUGUUCUGCAGGGUGGGAAGAGUCUUCCCAGAAGCCAAACCUCCUUGAGCAUGCCUCAGUUAGGGCCCCCCCUCCAACCCCGGACUCUUGUGCUCUUUCUGCAUCAUCCAAAGAAGCAGAGCGAGAGUCUUGGAGGAUGAGUGGUUGGGGCAUUUUCUCACACAGGCUUCCCUGCACACAAAUGCACCAGGAAGAGCAUAAAACACAGAGAAGACUUCCCUUUGCAGGAUUCGCCCCAUAUGUUAUUUUCUCUCUUUCACAGAGUAAAGCCCAGCUGCAUUUCCAGUUUAAUUCGAUUACUUACAAGGGCAGCUCUGUAUGCUUGGUGUUGCGAGGCUCUAAUGGUGAAUAUGAUUCUGUCUCUACUCUCCAAGGGCUGACAACUAGGGAGAGAGGUAGACAAACACACAAUUAACUAGGAUAACAAGGCAGACAGUCAGGAGUGCUUUUAUAAAGUCACUAAAUAUUGUGGGAGAAUAGUUCCAACUGGGAAUGUCAAGUCUUUCGUCAAGUCUUCUGUUAGGAAGUAGUUCUCGAUACAGACCUUAAAUAAUCAGUGGGGUCGCAAUAAAAACAGAGUGGAGAGUGGGGAAGGGCAUCUAGGAUAGAGGGAAUAUUUCCAGGGAAGGCAGACUGGAUGGGAAAGGGAAUGCCAAGAGCGAUUCCUUUAUACAACUCGCAGCCUGUCCUGAUGGUGCACGUACAGGGAGAAACCACAAAAACAACCUUCUUGCACUCCAGUGGGGGAGAAAGCAAGUGCUGCUUGGUGUGUACUCUUCCACAGGGUCCGGAAACACACAGAUUCUUGACUGCACCUUCGAUUUAGCUAGGGAAAUAACAAUGGCGGAGAGCAGGCUGUCAACGGCAGUAUGAAUGAAACCCUUACAUGUAAAUAUCACUUUUUCAAUCAAUUUUGAAGACUCUUUAUCCUUUGGAAGUAAUAUACGUGAAGGUGAAGCUGGAAAAAAUUGGCAUCUUUCUGACUCUUUUCUAGACUGUACCCAUGCCAGGCAUCACUAAUCGAACCAGCACACCCUUUUCCUGAGCUGAGCUUGUCCUCAGAAUGCCCAGGUGUUCCAGGUGGCCCCUGCCAAUUGACUGGUUGUAUUACGCCAGAUGAAUCCUGUUUGCCACUUUUUGUUCAAUUUUUUUUUAAUGUUUAUCUAUUUUUGAGUGAGAGAGACACGGAGUGUGAGCAGGGGAGGGGCAGAGAGAGAGAGGGAGACACAGAAUCCAAAGUAGGCUCCGGGCUCUGAGCAGUCAGCACAGAGCCUGAUGCGGGGCUUGAACUCACGAAUGGUGAGAUCAGACCUGAGCAAAAGUUGGAUGCUUAACCAGCUGAGUCACCCAGGUGCCCCUGCCAUUUUUUGUUUUAAAAUAUUAAUGACUCACUUCUAUCUUAAAUACUAGGUGCAUUUUUGUGAAACCCAAAGACUGUCUGAAAGCAGGGAGAAAUUUUUAUAACAUCUAGUGCAGUGAGAGUCUCAAAAUAUAAAUGGAGUGGCUCAUGAGACCACGAGACAAGGAUAAAAGUAUUCUCAGUCCUUUCUCCCAACAUCCCUGUGGCCAAAUGGUAUAAAUAUGAAGUUCAAAGAGACAGAACAUAUGUGAGAAAGUAUAAUAAGGUAUACAUAAAAAAUAACCAUUGGCUUAGAUCACUGGUUCUCAACCUGGAUAUACAUCUGAAUCUCUGGUUUAUGGAUAAUGCAGAUUCCUGGGCUUCGUUUUAGACGAAAUCAGACUUUUCUGGUCUUGGAGCUUAGAAAUGAUCAUGUCUACAAAACACUCAGUAAUUCUUCUGCAGUAUACCAGAGACCACUUCACAAACCUAUGUUUUGAAGUUGAAGAUUCCAACAAUAGGAAUGUUCUCGCCCUUGUUUGUGUCAUUGGAUAGUUGGCAAAAAAUACCAUACUCAUUUGCCAUGGCGGAGAUACCUUAUAUUCCAUGUUUAUUCCAGGUACUGAAAGACUGUAGUCACUUGGUAAAUGGAAAUGAAGUCUCAAUUUCCAAAGGGAUUGGUCAUUUGAAUGAAUGUGGGUCAUGCUUUUUGGAGACUCAUCUUCAGGGUGUAUCUGAAUGGUCAUGCAUCUACAUUAUUUGGUUUAAGAGGAAUUGAGAGAGAAGAGUUGAGAGAAAUUGGUUCAUGUUGACCAAGAGGAGACUGUCCUGAAAUUUCCGGUCAAUGGUUGAGCCCCCUUGAGUUUCUGAACUCAAAUACUAUAUGUUGUGCAUCUAUUUGUACUGGGCAUUUCACUAGGAUCAUACAUACGUUGUCUGAUGCAGUCCUUCAAAUAAUCCUAUGAAGGAGUUGUUAUUGUCCCCGGAAGAGGAAACCGAGGCUCAGAAAAGUUAAAUAACUUGCCUUGGGUGAUGAUGCAGGAUGUGGAUGUGAGUCUUGAACCUAAGGCUGUCUAACUCCACAUCUUUUAUUCUUAUUUAGAACACUCCACCUGCCGUUUCCAAGAAAUAUUCUGUUCUCUGAGAUUGCUGGAGCCCAAACCAUCAUUAAUGAUGCAAACCUGAAGUCAGAGCUGAGAAGGGCCCCUGAUACACACACCAGUAGUGGUCUGUAAGACUCUGGUGUUCUCACCGGCUUGAUCAAAACCCACUGCUUAUUACUGGCUCUUUUAUUUGUCUACCUUUGUAUGAAUACAGUUUGUUAAACUGUACUAGGAUUGUUCUUAUACCCGAACUUUGUAUUUUUGAAAAGAUACAAGGCUACAGACCAUUAUUGUUCCUAAAAACAAAAACAGCAAUGCGAUUCUUACAUAUGUGGAACAUACGUAACUCAGAUCCCCUACAUUUGAGACUUACAGAAAGGAAGUAUAGGGAUUGGGGCCUCACUCGUUGACCUGGUGGGAGGGGGGUGGGCUAGGAUAGGGCCACCCCAAUGUCUCCAUCCAGGUGAGAGCACAAGACACCAGGGGGGGGAGGCAAGUUGCUUUAGGGCCCCCCAGGGAAGCCAGCCUCUGAGCCUAGAACUCAAAUCCCCUAUGUUUCAUGGAAGAACCUGGAUGUUCCUCCCAUAAGUGCAUGUGGGGGGGGACUGGCCCAGCACCCACUGCACUGACUGACCACCCAGCACUAAACAGUGGUCACAAGGCUUGGUUUCCAGGUAGCUCUUUUAUCUUGGGCAAGUCAUUUUACUCCUCUGGUCCUCAGUUUCCAUGCAAAUCUGUGCAUAAAGGUCUCUCCUGGAUCUAAAAGGUCAGGAUUCUGUAAAAAACGUCAGCCACGGAGCUGGCAAAGAGCUUGAUGGGGACUUGUCAGGGGCAUCAUUAUCGCUGUCCUCACUAGUUGCAGACCAACUAGUUGCAGACCUCACUGCAGACCAGUGUCCCGAGGUUUCUCCUGUCCCCCUGACCUCAUUGAUCUGCCUCCUUCCUGGGCCCAAAGUUGUCAGACUCUCCUCUCCUUGGGAGACAGUCACAGUGGGUUCUAGCUCUAUGUUCUUUGAUGUUUCCUGUCAGAGUGACUUGAAAUCCCAGAUCUUCAAGUAGCCCCUUCACGCAUAGCUUUUCUUUUCUUGGAAAUGCUGAUCCUCCAUUGACACCCCACCCCUGCAGUGGAGUAGAGCUGCCUGGGCCACUUCCGUGAUGGCAGGUCUACACGAGUCACAGGGAUUUGAAGCUGAAGGGACCUUCUCGAGUGUUGACUCCAACUCUUUUAUUUCCUAGAUGAGAAUAAAAGGCCCCAAGAGGGGAAGUGACUCCACAACUCAAAGCCUCCCGGUUAGUGAAGGAAUUGACGCCAUGUUUUCAAAUUUAGACCCCGAGUAUAGUAAUAAAACUGACCCCGUGGAACUGCUGUGAAGGUAUUUGCACAAGAUAAUGCCUACGAAGGGCUCAAGUGUAGUUCUUGGCAUGGAGAACCACUGGACACAGCUGUUCCCUCCCUUCCUAGAACUCAAAUCCCCUGCUCCUCACCAUACUCACGUUCUCAUAGAAGUCCUGUAAGUUAGGACGGGCAGAUUUUAUUAUUCCUUUACUCUCCAGCACACCAAGGCAUGCAGAAGCAAACCGAGCCGCCCGCGUUUGAUUACUGCCUUAGGGGUGCCAUCUGACUUGAGUCAUGUUCUGUACUCAAAGAAUGUUUGGGGUUGCUGCCCACUGGAACCCAUCCCUCCUGACUCUUAAUCCAGUGCUCUUUCCAUUAUACCGAGUGGAUGGACGCGUGGGUGGGGACAAGCUACUUUGAAAUGCUAGGAAUACCAGCACGGUGACAGAUGUGUAAGAACACAUGGGGCCACAAUCCCUGUAUAUCUUAAGUCUGCCAGUGUGAUUUUAUUAUCAAGCAUUUAUCAAGAGCUCCUAUGUGCCAGGAGCUCUGCUUACUGCUGAGAUGAAUAUAAAAAUGAAGAAGAUACAGACCCUGCCCUCAAGGAGCACUUAAUUUGAUAAGAGAGACAGACUGAGACAUACAUAAUUCAAAUGUGAGGCAGAUGGUCAUCACUGACUACUUUAGACUUAGGGAAAGGAAGUAUAGGGAUUGGGGCCUCACUUGUUGACCUGGUGGGAAGGGGGUGGGCGAGGAUAGGGCCACCCCCAAAUGUCUCCAUCCAGGUGAGAGCACAAGACACCUUGCGGGGGGUGGGGCGGAGGAAAAGUGCUUUAGGGCCUCCCAGGGAAGCCAGCCUCUGAGCUCUUUGGCCCCAAUGCCCAGUGACCCACGCUGGGCCACUGUCUGGUUCCAAGACUGUUUCUUUUGCAGUUUUGCAAAAUGGGAGAACAUCCCCUUUCUUGCUCUGAGCCCUGUGGGGACUGGAGUGUUCACUGGUCUAGACGCCUGUUUUUGGAAAGGACUGCCUUCAAGCCGCAGAGGGCUCAGAAGCGGCACCCCACACGGAGACCAAGAAAACACCAUCCUUUUUCUCUCUUGUCCCUGUUUCCAAGACCAGAGGAGGAGGGUGAGAGGCUGGGCGGGGACAGUGGGGGCGGGGAGUGAUGGCGAGGGGACUUGUAGGUCAGUGCUUGACAAGGGGAGCAGGGUCACUCCGGGAAAAUACGGCCUUGCUCUCCCCUGGCAGAUUCCCAGAGAAGCUCUAACUGUUCCCCACCUGUCCCGAGCUCCCCCGCCCCGCAGCGCUGCUGUCCCCUGCUUGCACGGAGCAGGGAGGCGAUGAUGAAUUUCCCCCGAACGGCAUUACAGACAGUCAUAAAUAAUGCUUUGCUCUUUGGUGACGGCACUUUCCAUUAGAGCUGCCUGUGCUGGGCCGUUGCUACCCCCAGUCUUCUGCCGGGGACUUGCAGUAAAAUUUAUCAGCGAGCUUUCUGCACCUAAUAAAUCAUCCCCUCCGGGAGCCAUCUGGCAGAUAAGGCCGCGAGAACCCACAUGCUCUGCAGAGGCGGAGUCGGAGUGAGAGCCGCCCUCGCUGGGGCCCCCGGGCCCUGUUGAGGGGGGACUUUCUCCCCAUCAGUCCGGGCCUGUCACACUCCCUCUGGCUUUUCUCAUCAGACUCAGGAUGGGGGCCCUGGCUUUGGCGGCUGUUCCCGACUCACAGAACGGGUUCGUCCCACCCUGGGGACAGGCCUGAAAACCAUAUCCUUUUCCUGUUCUCUCCCCACCUCUCCCCGCACCAGGUGUACGGAAGGUCCUGGGGUCUGACAGCGGGCAAGAGCAGGGGUGUCCCAGGGCAAGACAGAUGCUGUGAUGGGCAUGACUGUUGCUUAACUGAAUCCUCCCCUGCGUCCUCCAGCCACUUGGGUAUUGGCCAACAUGGAAAUUAUCUCGUAGUGAUAAGAAACUUCCUGCCUGGAUGAAAGACAUCUAGGAGCACCGCCUUGAAAUGCAGGGUGAAGCCUCACACGGCCAUCCCCACUUUCUCCGAGCAGCAACUACCAUGCUUUUAGAGUUUUCUCUCCAAUGUGGAUUACUUUCCAUUAAUACACAUUAGGGGAUGUACUCCAGUGCACUGGACAUAGAGAAAGCAGCGCACAGAUUAAUGACCGUGGCCCUUUCCCUAACGCACUUACAGUUUCGUUGGUGAGACUGUUUUAAAGCCAGUCUCAGGCACAGCUGCGGCAGCGUCCACGUAGGGAGUCGCAGCACCCGCAUGACGUGAUCGUGGUGGCGAGGAAGGAGAGAGCGCCCAGCUCUCCGAUUUUGCAGCCCCUGUGCCCGGCGUGGUGCCCGGGUCACCGCAAGCCCGUGGUCCCUGGGUGUCCAACAUGCUGAAUGGGAUGUGCCAGUGGGCACCGUACCUGACACAGCCAACAAGACGAAGUAGAAUAUGAGAAUGAGAUGAUAAAUAGGAGAAUGGAAACAGCUUUAUCAUCCCCGGCUUCCUGCAGAGCGUGAACCCUGUUCCUUAGGGUUCCCUAGACCAUCUCGGAGCCAAAUCCUGUCCUAAGCAUGAUAGAACCUGUGUUCAUGGCUCAGCUCUGCCGCUGGCCGCCUCGGCUUGAUCAAGGGGCUCCCCGGGCUUUGGUGUUCUCCUUUGUAAAGUAAUACGAAAAGCCAGGGUCAUUUUGGGGGCACAAUUUUUAAUAUUGUUGCUGGUAGAAGAUUUUCUAAUUUUGCCUUUGCUGAUGCCUGCUUUUUUUUUUUUUUUUUUUUGAAAGACAGAAGGUUGAAUGGGUAAACGUAGUGAGAACUCCUGUCUUUUCCCGCCCUCUUUUCCCACUUUCUGGCUGAGAUAGUCUCAGUGUGGGGACCCCAGGUGGCUAGAGCCUGAGUUCCCUGAAUUCUUCCUGGAGACUCGUUCUGCAGGAAGACACCUAUCACGCCCUCCUCUGAUCGAUGUGGAUGUAUCCCGGGCAAACAUUACAUGGAAUGUCCCAAAGAUGCUUAGCUUAGCUAUGCAUUUAAUUUGGUGGUAAUUGAAAUUUGCCAACAAAGAUUUGCGUGUAAUCUGUGAUUUCAUUUUUCAAUUAAAAUUGCUUUCUUCCUGUGGAUGGGAAGUGCUUGGCUCUUUUCUCUUUCACAGCACUUUGCAAACGUGAAUCUCCCACUCCCUCAGGGGCUAGAGAGAGGGGAAGGGUGUGGGACAAGGAGGUGUAAGCUGAGGCCAAGAGGCAUGCUCCCGCAGGAUGGCAGGGCCACUCAGGAGAGGUGCUGGAGGCUGGGCUGAUGACAGGCAAGGUGCGGGCAUGGCUCCUUUAUUUCUGCUGAGUUUGGCAAAGAAGCUCCAGCCAGAACUUUCUGGAAGCUCAGUUUUUGGAGGGCAGGCAGGGUUUGGGAAGCAGAAGAUUUAGAGAGGUGGGAAGAGCCAACCAGUUCUCCCUGGCCGAGGCAAGCAAGCAGUAAGAAGCCGGAGGAAGACACUAGGCCCAGGUACUGGGAGGCAGGAGGGCGGCCGAUCUGAAGAUCUUCUCUACGGGAGGAGCAUGGCCUUCGAUAAAGGCAAGAAGUGACCCAGCUCACUGGAGAAGAGAAGUGAGAGGGUAGUGUGUUCUAAGGGUGGCGGGAGAAGUGAGACAAACACAAGAAGCAGAGCCUUGGAGAGCCCCUAAGCCAGUGAGGAGCCUGCAGGAUGUGGAUUCUGAUGAACCAGCUCCCAGGUAUGGAUGUUUCCUUUCCUGGGUCUGCGGCCUUGGACCAGUACUUACUUUCUGGGGGUUCUGGUUUCCUCAACUAUUUCCUGCACAUAAAAGUAAUACCUACGCGAAUAGGGGCUGGGAGAAGCAGGCUGUUGAUCUGUGAGCGUUGUCCCAAGGUCAGGGGCUCCAUCUUCAUACCCUUCAUAUGCCCAGAGCCUAGCACGGUGCCUGGCACAUAGCAAGAGUUUAGUAAAACCCGUCAAAAUGGACAAAUUGGUCAAAUGAGAUGAUGUGAGUGGGAGAGCGUUUUGUAGAUUCUAAUAGCCCAUUUUUGGUACUCGUUUGGCCUUACUAGUUGUGAAAAUGAGAUCAGGUAUUUGACUCAAGGCUGCGCUGGCUCUGGGCUGAGCCCUGGAUGGAGAAGGUUCAGGACAGAGGUCCUGGUUCGUGACUCAGGGAGGCUUCUGUGGGAGCCCGGACCGCUGGCAGCGAUUUGUUUCUCCAGACCCAGGCCCCCCCCACCGUGGGACCCAGCCGGGGGCUGACUUCUAGGUCCAUGGUCAGUAUGCGUCAGAUUGGCAACUGCGCCAUGGUGGGACAGGCAUCGAGAGCUUGCCACAAAAGGGGCUGGGGACAAUAUCUAUGAGAGGGACGGUCUGGUUCCCGCAGCCAGGCUGGAGAUGGGAUUAAGAACCAUUUUAGGAAUUAGUAGCAAUUCUGGCUUCAGCAGAAGGCACACAGCUUUGGGCAGAGCAGGGGUCCUCCUCUCGGCCCAGGCAAGUCACUUUUGGUCUGGUUUCUCUCAAGUAGAGAUAAUAAUCCCUUCUACCUGGCCAGACAGCUGAACCAUUUUCUUUCCUUUCCUUUCCUUCCUUCCUUCCUUCCUUCCUUCCUUCCUUCCUUCCUUCCUUCCUUCCUCUUUCUUUCUUUCUUUCUUUCUUUCUUUCUUUCUUUCUUUCUUUCUUUCUUUCUUUUCAGUAAUAAAUCUGCCAACCCACAGGGCUCAAGCCAAGGGCUUUGCUUGCUGCAUCUACACAGAGGUCUCGUAAAAAUAGUGUGAAAUGAAAGAGAAAAAUGCAUAUUUCACACUUUGUCUGCCCUGGGUUAUGGUGAUUCUCAACUCGUCCUUGUUACAAACAGCCGACCUUCCCACAGAGUUCAAGUACCUUCUGCUGGCCUGAAGAACCGUCUCCCCGUCUCCCUCCCCCGCUGUCCCUCCCCCCUGCCUCGAACACACACAGCUUGCCUGAGUGGAAGCAGGGCUGUGUGCAAGCAUACUGUGCUGGUUCAGUGCUUUCCAGGAGGGAGGGGGGCGUACACAGCCCCCAGUGUGCAGUUAAUGCAUGUAUACGCACAGGCACA
rnacentral:lncRNA from 1 species